rnacentral:rRNA from 1 species
GACGAACGCUGGCGGCGUGCCUAAUACAUGCAAGUAGAACGCUGAAGGAGGAGCUUGCUUCUCCGGAUGAGUUGCGAACGGGUGAGUAACGCGUAGGUAACCUGCCUGGUAGCGGGGGAUAACUAUUGGAAACGAUAGCUAAUACCGCAUAAGAGUAGAUGUCGCAUGACAUUUGCUUAAAAGGUGCAACUGCACCACUACCAGAUGGACCUGCGUUGUAUUAGCUAGUUGGUGAGGUAACGGCUCACCAGGGCAACGAUACAUAGCCGACCUGAGAGGGUGAUCGGCCACACUGGGACUGAGACACGGCCCAGACUCCUACGGGAGGCAGCAGUAGGGAAUCUUCGGCAAUGGACGGAAGUCUGACCGAGCAACGCCGCGUGAGUGAAGAAGGUUUUCGGAUCGUAAAGCUCUGUUGUAAGAGAAGAACGAGUGUGAGAGUGGAAAGUUCACACUGUGACGGUAGCUUACCAGAAAGGGACGGCUAACUACGUG